rnacentral:rRNA from 1 species
AUUGAACGCUGGCGGCAGGCUUAACACAUGCAAGUCGAGCGGAGAUGAGGUGCUUGCACCUUAUCUUAGCGGCGGACGGGUGAGUAAUGCUUAGGAAUCUGCCUAUUAGUGGGGGACAACAUUCCGAAAGGAAUGCUAAUACCGCAUACGUCCUACGGGAGAAAGCAGGGGAUCUUCGGACCUUGCGCUAAUAGAUGAGCCUAAGUCGGAUUAGCUAGUUGGUGGGGUAAAGGCCUACCAAGGCGACGAUCUGUAGCGGGUCUGAGAGGAUGAUCUGCCACACUGGGACUGGAACACGGCCCAGACUCCUACGGGAGGCAGCAGUGGGGAAUAUUGGACAAUGGGGGGAGCCCUGAUCCAGCCAUGCCGCGUGUGUGAAGAAGGCCUUAUGGUUGUAAAGCACUUUAAGCGAGGAGGAGGCUACUGAGACUAAUACUCUUGGAUAGUGGACGUUACUCGCAGAAUAAGCACCGGCUAACUCUGUGCCAGCCGCCGCAGUAAAAC